GAUAAACGCUAGCGGCAGGCCUAACACAUGCAAGUCGAGCGGGGGUGAUGGUGCUUGCACUAUCACUUAGCGGCGGACGGGUGAGUAAUGCUUAGGAAUCUGCCUAUUAGUGGGGGACAACAUCUCGAAAGGGAUGCUAAUACCGCAUACGUCCUACGGGAGAAAGCAGGGGAUCACUUGUGACCUUGCGCUAAUAGGUGAGCCUAAGUCGGAUUGGCUAGUUGGUGGGGUAAAGGCCUACCAAGGCGACGAUCUGUAGCGGGUCUGAGAGGAUGAUCCGCCACACUGGGACUGAGACACGGCCCAGACUCCUACGGGAGGCAGCAGUGGGGAAUAUUGGACAAUGGGGGGAACCCUGAUCCAGCCAUGCCGCGUGUGUGGAGAAGGCCUUAUGGUUGUAAAGCACUUUAAGCGAGGAGGAGGCUCUUUUGGUUAAUACCCAAGAUGAGUGGACGUUACUCGCAGAAUAAGCACCGGCUAACUCUGUGCCAGCAGCCGCAGUAA
rnacentral:rRNA from 1 species